ACGGUAAGGCCCUUCGGGGUACACGAGUGGCGAACGGGUGAGUAACACGUGGGUGAUCUGCCCUGCACUUCGGGAUAAGCCUGGGAAACUGGGUCUAAUACCGGAUAUGACUACAGGCUUCAUGGUUUGUGGUGGAAAGCUUUUGCGGUGUGGGAUGGGCCCGCGGCCUAUCAGCUUGUUGGUGGGGUAAUGGCCUACCAAGGCGACGACGGGUAGCCGGCCUGAGAGGGUGUCCGGCCACACUGGGACUGAGAUACGGCCCAGACUCCUACGGGAGGCAGCAGUGGGGAAUAUUGCACAAUGGGCGCAAGCCUGAUGCAGCGACGCCGCGUGGGGGAUGACGGCCUUCGGGUUGUAAACCUCUUUCAGCUCUGACGAAGCGCAAGUGACGGUAGGAGCAGAAGAAGGACCGGCCAACUACGUGCCAGCAGCCGCGGUAAUACGUAGGGUCCGAGCGUUGUCCGGAAUUACUGGGCGUAAAGAGCUCGUAGGUGGUUUGUCGCGUUGUUCGUGAAAUCUCACAACUCAAUUGUGAGCGUGCGGGCGAUACGGGCAGACUGGAGUACUGCAGGGGAGACUGGAAUUCCUGGUGUAGCGGUGGAAUGCGCAGAUAUCAGGAGGAACACCGGUGGCGAAGGCGGGUCUCUGGGCAGUAACUGACGCU
rnacentral:rRNA from 1 species